rnacentral:rRNA from 1 species
UACGAAGGGUGCAAGCGUUACUCGGAAUUACUGGGCGUAAAGGGCGCGUAGGCGGCCUGUUAAGUCGAACGUGAAAUCCCCGGGCUCAACCCGGGAACUGCGUCCGAUACUGGCAGGCUCGAAUCCGGGAGAGGGAUGCGGAAUUCCAGGUGUAGCGGUGAAAUGCGUAGAUAUCUGGAGGAACACCGGUGGCGAAGGCGGCUUUCUGGACAGUAACUGACGCUGAGGCGCGAAAGCUAGGGGAGCAAACAGG